GAAGGAUGCUCUAGAGAAGUAUAUACUUUAAAAUUUUGAUCUUUUUAAUCAAAUGCCUCCUCUUUUCUUUGGUAUGCUUCAUUAUUUUGAUGGUAGGGAGAAAACAGAGGGAAAGAGAAGGAGAGUUUUCAAUGGCGCGAUAGGCAUACAUGUUUGAUUCCAUAAACUAAGUUUGUUUAACAUCAAUUGUUCUAAAAGAUUAAUAAUGUUUUUUCACGAUAGGCAUGAAUGUUUGAUUCUAUAAACCAAGUUUGUGGCAUUAACCCUUUGGAUCCUUAACUUGCAGGGAAACGAAGAGAAAUUAAGAAGA
rnacentral:misc_RNA from 1 species